GCAGUCCCGGCGGCUCACAGAGCGAACUUGCUGAGUGACGGGGCUGGGCUAUGACCCUCGGGCCGCUGCUGCUGCUGCUGGGGGCUCUGGGGGCGCCGCUCGCUCCGGGCGCCCACGGCUCGGAGGCCGAAGGCCGGCUCCGCGAGAAACUUUUCUCGGGCUAUGACAGCUCGGUGCGCCCGGCACGGGAGGUGGGCGACCGCGUCCUGGUCAGCAUUGGUCUCAGCCUGGCGCAGCUCAUCAGCCUGAACGAGAAGGAUGAGGAGAUGAGCACAAAGGUGUACUUAGACCUGGAGUGGACUGACUACAGGCUGAGCUGGGACCCCGCGGAGCACGACAACAUCGAGUCGCUCCGCAUCACGGCUGAAUCCGUGUGGCUACCAGACGUGGUGCUCCUCAACAACAAUGACGGAAAUUUUGACGUCGCUCUGGACAUUAACGUCGUGGUGUCCUCCAGCGGCUCAGUGCGCUGGCAGCCCCCGGGCAUCUAUCGCAGCAGCUGCAGCAUCCAGGUCACCUACUUCCCCUUCGACUGGCAGAACUGCAGUAUGGUGUUCCGUUCCUACAGCUAUGACAGCACAGAGGUUAGUCUGCAGACGGGCCUCGGUCCCGACGGGCAGGAGAUGCAGGAAAUCCACAUUCACGAAGGGACCUUCAUUGAAAAUGGCCAAUGGGAGAUUAUCCAUAAGCCCUCCAGGCUAAUCCAGCCUCCGGGAGAUCCUAUGGGAGGAAGGGAAGGACAGCAUCAGGAUGUCACCUUCUACCUCAUCAUUCGCCGGAAGCCUCUCUUCUACCUGGUCAAUGUCAUUGCUCCGUGUGUCCUAAUCACUCUCCUGGCCAUCUUCGUCUUCUACCUGCCUCCAGAUGCAGGGGAGAAGAUGGGACUCUCCAUCUUUGCCCUGCUGACCCUUACUGUGUUCCUGCUGCUGCUAGCGGACAAAGUGCCUGAGACCUCCCUGUCAGUCCCUAUCAUCAUCAAGUACCUCAUGUUCACCAUGAUCCUCGUCACCUUCUCAGUCAUCCUCAGCGUCGUAGUCCUCAACCUGCACCACCGCUCACCCCAUACUCACCAGAUGCCCCUUUGGGUGCGACAGAUCUUCAUCCACAAGCUCCCUCCGUACCUGGGUCUGAAGAGGCCGAAGCCUGAGAGAAACCAGAUGCCCAAGCCUCCUCCUCUAGCCCUCAGAGACUCCUCAGGAAGUGGCUGGGGUCGGGGAACAGAUGAAUAUUUCAUCCGGAAGCCGCCAAGUGAUUUUCUCUUCCCCAAACCCAACAGGUUCCAGCCUGACCUGUCUGCCUCGGACCUGCGGCGAUUUAUGGACGGUCCAAACCGGGCAGUGGGUCUGCCUCCCGAGCUGCGGGAGGUCGUCUCCUCCAUCAGCUACAUCGCUCGACAGCUGCAGGAGCAGGAGGACCACGACGCGCUGAAGGAAGACUGGCAGUUUGUGGCCAUGGUAGCGGACCGCCUCUUCCUAUGGACCUUCAUCAUCUUCACGAGCGUCGGGACCCUCGUCAUCUUCCUGGACGCCACGUACCACUUGCCCCCUGCGGACCCCUUUCCUUGAGGACGGCAGGGCGGAGACGCAGGUCCCCCGCCAGUUGAGCUGAAAAUCCUCCGCUCUGGUGCGCAGACCUUGGACAAGCCAUAUAGACUGCCCCGUGCCUCAGUUUCCUCAUCUGUACAAUGAAGUUAAUAAUAGUAGCUGCUCCUUAGGGUUGUCUGAGGAUCAUCGGAGAAGGUAACGAAAGCACUAUAUAGUACAUAUCAGAGGUCACAGACUGGUGUUUGGCCCAUGUUGCAGGCUGUAGGCCUGUGCAGUUUUUAAUUGGCAAACUUUUGAAAUUGGAAUAUUUCAUGGACAAUUUUGCAUUUCUGGUUUCUCUUGAAAAAACUUUAAAAAGCACAGUAACACCAGUUCUGGGUUCCCUCUUGGCACCAACCCGCCAGAGCUGAUUAGCGGCUCCCCACUCUGGGCAGUGCAUUUGCCCCGGAAUUCCCUACAGCCUCUACCCACCUGACCAGCUUCACUCAUUCUCCCUGUCCAGCCUCCAUAACAAUAGAAAAGAUUCAGGGAAGGGGAGGCCAUAAGGGCGGAAGUCCAUGGGAAGGCUAGGAAUGGAGAGAGGCCUCCGCCUGCCCUGUGGCCAUCACAGGUUCGUUUUGGGCCUCUGUUUCCUUUCACCCUGGGAGAAGUGCUGGACAGGUUUAAGGCAUGGCCCCUCUGGGACAUGGUUGUGCACCAGCCUUGUGAACUGGACUGAAUUAAUGUUUCUCUCUGGAGCUUGGCCUGAAGGCAGCUGGAUCCCAGAGCCGGCAGCUAGAACAGGACUGAGCGUCAGCAGGCCCUCACGCCUACUGCCCUGCUGGAAGUCGUCCUAAGGGAGAGAAUAGGGCUUCAACUCCCAGGGAUCCCCAGGGCACAAGACUAGCCUGUCCUUGUCCCCCAGACCCACCAGCCACGGAAAUAAUCGCACCUGGCACCCCACUGCGGAGCACAGUUCGUUUGUCUUGUUGGUUUAUUGGCCUAGAGAGUUGGACACACACACAAAUGCGGAGAUAAAUAUCACUCAGUUUCUCUAAGUCUGGGUCCUCACUACGUGUAGAGCAAAUCUGUAGAAUUCUAAACCUCGCGUGCUGUGGCACAGAACCAUGGCCCCCCACUCCACCAUCACCCCCCUUCCCAUGGGGAGAGAGGGCACAGACUAACAAGACUUGAGAAUUUCCAAAGGAUGAAAUCGCAAAAUCCCAAAUUUCCAGCAUCUGAAAUUCACAAUAUCCAAGCCCCCCACCUCAAAUACAUAUAUUUUAAUCUCCACUUCGCCACAAUUUCAUCAGUUGCCCAGGACCACCACAUGUGGGAAACUAUUUUCCUAAAUCAUAGUUUCAAAAAAUGUCUACAAUCUCAGCUGUCCCCAAAUAACCAAGGUUUUUGAAUUUUGACCCAUUCUGAAAUUCCAACUUCUGGGUCCAUCCAUACUCAACCCCUCCCAUCUCCUGUGCCUUUUUGGCCUCAGAGAAGGGCAGGCAAAGGACAGGGGGGAUCAGAGUCACCUGCGCCCCUGCCUCCAGGCCUUCCUCAGUCGCUCUUGUGGUUCCGCUGUAUGUAUAUAUAGAUAUAGCUGUAUAUAUCUAUAUAUAUCUAUAUAAUUUGUGUGUUGAUAUAUAUAUAUGUAUUCUUUAUUAUGUAUGUUUUU